GUUUGGUUGAAAGACUGCGUAAAUCCCUCUUAUUCCUCUUCUGUUACAGCUGCAGCUCUUGGGAACCUGGUUUCAGACCUGGCUGGACUUGGUCUUGCAGGAUAUGUGGAAGUUCUAGCUUCCAGGCUAGGGAUGCAGGUUCCUGACUUGACCCCCAAGCAGGCGGACAUGUGGCAGACCAGGGUUAGCUCCCACAUGGGAAAAUGCAUUGGAGUCACAAUCGGAUGCAUUCUGGGAAUGUUCCCCCUGCUAUUCCUAGGGGAUGAUGAUGAGCGCAAGAAAAAAGAAGCACAAACCAACACCACAGACUCUUAACAGCAUGUGAACCAUCUUUCUGGUUUCGAGUCAAUUAAAACAUGCAUCAUCAGCAUGAUUUAAGUUGAUCUCUAACUCUGAAAACCUUUCUUCUCUAUUUCAUAAUAUAUGCCACUUAGCAGACGCUCUUAUCCAAAGUGACUUAGUCAUGGGUGCAUACAUUUUACGUACGGGUGGUCCCGGUAAUCGAACCCACUAUUCUGGCGUUGCAAGCGCCAUGCUCUACCAACUGAGCUACCAGAUAAUCUUCUGAAAAUGUAUUAUGAGCCAUUAGGCUUAUAAAGUAGUUGCAUUUGAUGGCAAGGUAUUUUCGUAGGAUGGAUUUCGUUGAUGAGUUGAACAUUUGUUUGAUUAAUUUAAACCAAUGUAUGUGAUCGUCAUGAGUCAUUGCAAGUUACUCAUAGACUCAUCCCUGUUGCCCCCUGCACUACACUGCAGUCAAUCGGUUUACAUUUAUCAUGGAGUCGUUGAAAGCUGAAAUGAAAACACAAAUCAUGGUGUCAGUCUUCAAGUUUCACAAUUUUGGCAAAAGAUAAAACCAAGGAACACGUGUAAAAUUAAAUGCCAAUGAGGUAGCAGUUUUGUUCUGAUUGAAACAACGGGUUGAACUAGCUUGUACAUUAUAGAAUAUUUUCAAAGGAUACUUCUUUUGUUGAGGAAUUUCUGUACAAUAUAUGAAGCUUUUAACUUUAUUGAUUUUGUUUGUCAACAAGGAAAAAGGGAUUACUCUAGCAUUUCAAAAUCAGGUCACAAAUGCUGUUUAUAGCACUACCAACCCAGUUUUUCAGAUGCAUAAUUACAAACAUACCUCUACUAUACUUGCACACUACAUUGAGUAGGCAUAAUGCCUUGGGUUCCUAGCAUGUCAACAUCUUAAGUUGGCUAUCUAUUAGGCUAACUAUUGAUCCAUGUCUCUUAGCCUUCACAAUUAUUUUAGCAAAGCCAAAUCAUACCAUAGAAGUGCCUCAGUUUAUUUUCAUCACAUCAAUUUUUUGACCUUUUUAAAAACAAGCACAUAAAUACUUUUUCACAAAAUAAAAUCUAACUUCAUGUUUGAAAGCGUCAUUUUUAGUCUGUACAUGUUUGUUAAUCUACUUUAUUUUGGAGAAAUUAAGGAAACAGUUCAUGAAGUGAGCUGAACGCUUAAGCGUAAAACUGCGCACUAACUACUGUAUGCGUUCUAAAACAGGUUGGAUUUAUGUGCACAGAAGAGAAGCAAUACAAUGUUUCUUAAAAUGCAAUUAAUGCACCUAUUAUUUCUUUGCCAAUAUUAUGGAGUUUUUGUAGGAUAGCUACGGAUUUGUGUUUCUGAUCGACAACCAUUUACUUAUGGUGGCCUAAAUCAGAUUUUGUUUAUAGAUGUAAUCAAACUAGUCAUAUUUAUUGUGUGAAAGACAUUCUUUGUUUUCUGUCUAUUUCUGUCAGUAUUAGUUUUCUCCGUUUGCCUUUUCUGAUUUCUGUAAAUGCAGUACUUAAACUGGAAUGCCCCUCACCACACUGCUGUAUUUCCUCACGAAUUGUAAUGAAUGUUUUUAAUGACCCUUAUUAUUUAAACUAUUACUGCCAAAUGCAGCUUUGUUGUCACCAAAGUACUUGGCUGUAAAAAAAAACUGUUGCAGCACAACCAGACUAAUAAGAAGGUGUAACAAAUGGUUUGAUCGUUUUGUUUGAAAGCAAUAAAUGUUCUGUUGUGGGUGAGUAGUA